GACGAACGCUGGCGGCGUGCUUAACACAUGCAAGUCGAACGAUGAAGCCGGAGCUUGCUCUGGUGAAUUAGUGGCGAACGGGUGAGUAACACGUGAGUAACCUGCCCUUGACUCUGGGAUAACUGCGGGAAACUGUAGCUAAUACCGGAUACGACCCUCGGAGGCAUCUCCUGGGGGUGGAAAGAAUUUCGGUCAAGGAUGGACUCGCGGCCUAUCAGCUAGGUGGUGAGGUAAAGGCUCACCAAGGAGACGCCGGGUAGCCGGCCGGAGAGGGUGACCGGCCACACUGGGACUGAGACACGGCCCAGACUCCUACGGGAGGCAGCAGUGGGGAAUAUUGCACAAUGGGCGCAAGCCUGAUGCAGCAACGCCGCGUGAGGGAUGACGGCCUUCGGGUUGUAAACCUCUUUUAGCAGGGAAGAAGCGAAAGUGACGGUACCUGCAGAAAAAGCACCGGCUAACUACGUGCCAGCAGCCGCGGUAA
rnacentral:rRNA from 1 species